rnacentral:rRNA from 1 species
UAGCGGAGGAAAAGAAACCAACAGGGAUUGCCCCAGUAACGGCGAAGUGAAGCGGCAACAGCUCAAAUUUGAAAUCUGGCCCCAGGCCCGAGUUGUAAUUUGCAGAGGAUGCUUUUGGCGCGGUGCCUUCCGAGUUCCCUGGAACGGGACGCCAUAGAGGGUGAGAGCCCCGUACGGUUGGACACCAAGCCUUUGUAAAGCUCCUUCGACGAGUCGAGUAGUUUGGGAAUGCUGCUCAAAAUGGGAGGUAUAUUUCUUCUAAAGCUAAAUAUAGGCCAGAGACCGAUAGCGCACAAGUAGAGUGAUCGAAAGAUGAAAAGCACUUUGAAAAGAGGGUUAAACAGCACGUGAAAUUGUUAAAAGGGAAGCGCUUGUGACCAGACUUGCGUCCGGUGAAUCACCCAGCUCUCGCGGCUGGGGCACUUCGCCGGCACAGGCCAGCAUCAGCUUGCCGUCGGGGACAAAAGCUUCAGGAACGUAGCUCUCUUCGGGGAGUGUUAUAGCCUGUUGCAUAAUACCCUUCGGCGGGCUGAGGUACGCGCUCCGCAAGGAUGCUGGCGUAAUGGUCAUCAGCGACCCGUCUUGAAACACGGACCAAGGAGUCAACCUUAUGUGCGAGUGUUUGGGUGUUAAACCCCUACGCGUAAUGAAAGUGAACGCAGGUGAGAGCUUCGGCGCAUCAUCGACCGAUCCUGAUGUUCUCGGAUGGAUUUGAGUAAGAGCAUAUAGGGUUGGACCCGAAAGAAGGUGAACUAUGCGUGUGUAGGGUGAAGCCAGAGGAAACUCUGGUGGAGGCUCGCAGCGGUUCUGACGUGCAAAUCGAUCGUCAAACAUGCGCAUGGGGGCGAAAGACUAAUCGAACCUUCUAGUAGCUG